GGGGGGAGGCCGGAUCCUGGGCUCUGUCCCCGGCUCCCUGUGCUCCGGAACCUGCGCUGUUGGAUUUGCGCUCCCGGCCGGCCGCGCAGCUCCCU
rnacentral:pre_miRNA from 1 species